rnacentral:sRNA from 1 species
GACCAAGGUUUGACUUGAGCGCCAGCGAGAGAGCGUUGCCGCAGGCAACGACCCGAAGGGCGAAGCGUGCAGCGCUGAGUAAUCCUUCCCCCACCACCA